rnacentral:rRNA from 1 species
UACGUAGGGUGCAAGCGUUGUCCGGAAUUAUUGGGCGUAAAGAGCUCGUAGGCGGUCUGUCGCGUCUGCUGUGAAAACUCAGGGCUCAACCCCGGACUUGCAGUGGGUACGGGCAGACUAGAGUGUGGUAGGGGAGACUGGAAUUCCUGGUGUAGCGGUGAAAUGCGCAGAAUAUCAGGAGGAACACCGAUGGCGAAGGCAG